GGCCUUUCCCUACUCCUUUAAUAAAAGUAGACAUUUUCUCUCAAGAUCUCAGAGUGUACUGUCCUUAUCUCUAUGAAAGCACUUGCCAUGCUAUAUUGUAUUUAAUGCAAUGUCUGUACUUCCAAAUAGACUAUAACUAUCUAAGGGCAGGAACUAAAGUAUCUCAUUUAAUGUGAUCAUGUGUUUGUUGCAUGGAUAAAUGAAAUAAGAAGGGAUUCCUGGCUGCUUCUUCCAGGCCUGUCUCCCUUUGUCUUUAAGCCCUGGAGGAGUCAACCCUACUUUGGCAAAAAACAUUUAGCAUGUCCCCUCCUCUCUCUGAGUACUGCUACCUAUCCUAUAUCCCAAGGCUACCAAAUGCAUAUUUUAAACUUUACAGAAAAUACCAUGUUAUUUAGUAUUUUACCAUUUUUAGGGUAGGGCAUAGGAAUGUGUUCCUAUCUCUCCUGUAUUUUUUCUAACCAAUGUUUUCUCUAAUUUUUAAACCCUUUCAUGGAGGCGUUUUGUAUUUUAGGUGCUGUCAUUCAGAGUCCACAGGAUGGAUGAAUGGAUAUGAAAAUGAACAAACGUGUGACACAACACUGCAUGAUUUACCGGCAAUGACUUUCUGAUCAAGCCUGAACAUCCCAAGACAACCAUGCUGUGAAGAAGUCGGUCUACCCCACUGGAGAAGGAAAGGCUGUUCAGGGAAGUGAAGAUGCCCCAGCUGACAGUCACCACCUGCCAGACAUAAAAGAUGGAAAUUCAUUUCUGCUAAAGAGAAAGAAAAAAUUGGAAGACAGGGUGAAGGUGAACAGGCCCAUUAUAAGAAAGAAACAAAAAUCUAUAUUCUGUCUACAAGGAAACGAGAGAGAGAAAGAGAGAGAAGAAAGAAGUUCCAGGAUUCUAAUGUACCAAAGGGAUCUCCUUUUUCUUGUUUUGUUCUGAAAAUUUCACCAAAAGAGCACAGGAGAACAUCUUGGCUAAUUCAUUGGCGAUGAUGUAAGAAAACUGAGAGAAAUGAAAGAAAUGAAGAAUUACUGCUGCAGAUAAUAUACAGCCUUGAGGAAAGAAAGGCUUUUAAGAUUAUAGAUAUAAAGGCUAUUGCUGUAUUCUGGGAUAAAAGAAAGUCUGAUGCAGGGAAAGGGGAAGUUGGAAAAACUGGAAAAAGAAAAAAGAAGAAAAGAAAAAAAGGACUGGAAAGACAUUGGUGAAUAGAAAGAUGAAAAGGGUGAAGAAAAAAAUGAUGAUGGUCAAUAGGGUGGUUUUAAAAGAGGCUUUUGUUUUAUUAAUUUGUUUUUGUGUGAGUGUGUGUGUAUGUGUUUGUUUUUUGCCUAAAAGUAUUUAACUCCGCAUUACACCACUGAUUUCAAAGAAAAAAAGCUGAAAUGUAAGAUCAUAUGAUUUGUUUUUAAACUGAACACUGUAUACUGUCUUUUUAUUUUUGCAAAAUUAAUGUAGUAUCCAGUGUGUCUUUAGAUAACCCUGUCCUUAAUGAUAUUUUCAAUAGCCACUAACCUUGCCUGGUACUGUUUCGGGGUUUAAACUAGAACAGAAAUUUAAGGCAGGCUUUAUUAGUGCAUAGUACAAAUCAAUUACAUAUAUAUGGAGAUAUUAUUUUUCCCUCUUCAAUUGUUUUUCAUGCAGCUUACCCAAUAUAAUUGUUCUGUUAGUUGUACACUACUCUGUGAUAGCAAAUAAUAAUAAUAAAAUAAUUAUGAUGAUAUUGCC
rnacentral:lncRNA from 1 species